rnacentral:tRNA from 1 species
GCGGGUGUAGUUUAAUGGUAGAACUUCAGAUUUCCAAUCUGACUACGAGGGUUCGAUUCCCUUCACCCGCUCCA